UACAGAGGGGGCAAGCGUUGUUCGGAAUUACUGGGCGUAAAGGGCGCGUAGGCGGCCUGCUAAGUCGAACGUGAAAUCCCUGGGCUCAACCCAGGAACUGCGUCCGAUACUGGCAGGCUUGAAUUCGGGAGAGGGAUGCGGAAUUCCAGGUGUAGCGGUGAAAUGCGCAGAUAUCAGGAGGAACACCGGUGGCGAAGGCGGGUCUCUGGGCCGUAACUGACGCUGAGGAGCGAAAGCAUGGGGAGCGAACAGG
rnacentral:rRNA from 1 species